CAUGGACUAGUGUGUAGGUAAUUUGUCAGUUAAAGAGGAACCAAUCGUGGUAUAACGUCAAUAAUGUUGUUUUGUUUACACCCCCCUCCUCCGCUCACUUUCAUGGACUAGUGUGUAGGUAAUUUGUCAGUUAAAGAGGAACCAAUCGUGGUAUAACGUCAAUAAUGUUGUUUUGUUUACACCCCCCUCCUCCGCUCACUUUCAUGGACUAGUGUGUAGGUAAUUUGUCAGUUAAAGAGGAACCAAUCGUGGUAUAACGUCAAUAAUGUUGUUUUUGUUUACACCCCCCCUCCUCCGCUCACUUUCAUGGACUAGUGUGUAGGUAAUUUGUCAGUUAAAGAGGAACCAAUCGUGGUAUAACGUCAAUAAUGUUGUUUUGUUUACACCCCCUCCUCCGCUCACUUUCAUGGACUAGUGUGUAGGUAAUUUGUCAGUUAAAGAGGAACCAAUCGUGGUAUAACGUCAAUAAUGUUGUUUUGUUUACACCCCCUCCUCCGCUCACUUUCAUGGACUAGUGUGUAGGUAAUUUGUCAGUUAAAGAGGAACCAAUCGUGGUAUAACGUCAAUAAUGUUGUUUUGUUUACACCCCCCUCCUCCGCUCACUUUCAUGGACUAGUGUGUAGGUAAUUUGUCAGUUAAAGAGGAACCAAUCGUGGUAUAACGUCAAUAAUGUUGUUUUGUUUACACCCCCCUCCUCCGCUCACUUUCAUGGACUAGUGUGUAGGUAAUUUGUCAGUUAAAGAGGAACCAAUCGUGGUAUAACGUCAAUAAUGUUGUUUUGUUUACACCCCCCUCCUCCGCUCACUUUCAUGGACUAGUGUGUAGGUAAUUUUGUCAGUUAAAGAGGAACCAAUCGUGGUAUAACGUCAAUAAUGUUGUUUUGUUUACACCCUCCUCCGCUCACUUUCAUGACUAGUGUGUAGGUAAUUUGUCAGUUAAAGAGGAACCAAUCGUGGUAUAACGUCAAUAAUGUUGUUUUGUUUACACCCCCCUCCUCCGCUCACUUUCAUGGACUAGUGUGUAGGUAAUUUGUCAGUUAAAGAGGAACCAAUCGUGGUAUAACGUCAAUAAUGUUGUUUUGCAGUUGUAUAAAAAAAUUGUCACUUCUCAUGUCCUUGGAGAUUUGUUUGUUACUCUUGAGUACAUUGACUUUGAACGUUUUGCAAAAUUAAAACAUUAAAGUGUUGAGUUUAAUUUAAUUUUGCAUUAUUGCAUGAAGAUCCGACACAGGUGAGGCAUAUUAUCUCUGUGUAAACAGUUUGUAUGUUCAAUAGUUUAAUACACGACUUAAAAUAAUUUUUGUCUCCAUGACACAGUAUUUCGCUAGUCGUAAUUGUUUAUUGUUAGUCAAAAUCAGGCCGUUUGUUUUUAUUUUUUUUAUUUUCAACAUUUUGUCUUCUUAAGGACUUGUAUAGCUUAUUACGGUAUGGACUCUGGUCAUUUAUGAAAACCGCAAGGUCAUAUGUAGCUGGUCGAGUCUUUUGGUUGGUCUGUGGUAUAUAAAAAUUAUUUUAUUGACAUUGACAAACAUACUACUUUGACAUAAUCUAAAAUAAGAUCUUCCAUUACAUAGUUGUUUUUCUUUUAACUUGAUUAUCUUACAUAAGGUCGUAAAAAUUACAUGUUGUGAUUUUUUUAAAGAUAGAAUAACUUUUGAAGAAAAUGAUGUCCACGUCCAAUUUCCACAAGUAAACGUUAAAUACAGUUUUCUAAACGUAUGACAAUACUAUCAAGACUGUAAAAAACAAGUAACAAGAACACUGACUAACAGAUGAAAGGGAAACAUAUUAAAGACAAAAGUUUUAUUUUCAAGACUAUAAAGUACAGUCAUUGUAAAAAACAAGUAACAAGAACACUGACUAACAGAUGAAAGGAAAAAAAUAUUAAAGACAAAAGUUUUAUUUUCAAGACUAUAAAGUACAGUCAUUGUAAAAACAAGUAACAAGAACACUGACUAACAGAUAAAAGGAAAAAAUAUUAACGACAAAAGUUUUAUUUUCAAGACUAUAAAGUACAGUCAUUGUAAAAUAAAAGUAACAAGAACAUUGACUAACAGAUAGAAGGAAAAAAAAUAUUAAAGACAAAAGUUUUUAUAAUCAAGACUAUAAAGUACAGUCAUUGUAAAAUAAAAGUAACAAGAACACUGACUAACAGAUAAAAGGAAAAAAUAUUAAAGACAAAAGUUUUUAUUUUCAAGACUAUGAAGUACAGUCAUUGUAAAAAAGAAAAGUAACAAGAACACUGACUAACAGAUAGAAGGAAAACAUAUUAAAGACAAAAGUUUUUAUUUUCAAGACUAUAAAGUACAGUCAUUGUAAAAUAAUGUAACAAGAACACAGACUAACAGAUAAAAGGAAAAAAAUAUUAAAGACAAAAAGUUUUUAUUUUCAAGACUAUGAAGUUACAGUCAUUGUAAAAAAACAAGUAACAAGAACACUGACUAACAGAUAAAAGGAAAAAAUAUUAAAGACAAAAGUUUUAUUUUCAAGACUAU
rnacentral:lncRNA from 1 species